GUCAUCACUAUCAUCAUCACCAUCAUAGUUGCAUAAACUCAGGAUGAACUUGCAGCUACUGAGAUCAAUCAUUCUUAGAAGCCACUAAGUGUACAGAAUUCCCUCCAGUAUGGAAUCUAUGGCCUAUAGGAUGAGAGAGAACGUGGACAGGUAAAGAAAGAAGUAAUUUCAGAUUGAAAGUGCACUGAGGGAAAUGAACUGGGGCUGAGAUGGGGAACAUCCCGCUGAGGGAAGUGAUUUGGA